rnacentral:rRNA from 1 species
GACGAACGCUGGCGGCGUGCUUAACACAUGCAAGUCGAACGGAAAGGCCCUGCUUUUGUGGGGUGCUCGAGUGGCGAACGGGUGAGUAACACGUGAGUAACCUGCCCUGGACUUUGGGAUAACUUCAGGAAACUGGGGCUAAUACCGGAUAGGAGCUCCUGCUGCAUGGUGGGGGUUGGAAAGUUUCGGCGGUUGGGGAUGGACUCGCGGCUUAUCAGCUUGUUGGUGGGGUAGUGGCUUACCAAGGCUUUGACGGGUAGCCGGCCUGAGAGGGUGACCGGCCACAUUGGGACUGAGAUACGGCCCAGACUCCUACGGGAGGCAGCAGUGGGGAAUAUUGCACAAUGGGCGGAAGCCUGAUGCAGCAACGCCGCGUGCGGGAUGACGGCCUUCGGGUUGUAAACCGCUUUCGCCUGUGACGAAGCGUGAGGGACGGUAAUGGGUAAAGAAGCACCGGCUAACUACGG